ensembl:snRNA U6 U6 spliceosomal RNA
GUGGUUGCUUCCGCAGCACAUGGACUAAAAUUGGAACGAUACAGGGAAGGUGAGCACGGCCCCUGUGCAAGGAUGACAUGCACAUUCCUGAAGCGGUCCGUAUUUUU